UCGGUGUAAUUACGGCCCAGUUGGAGCGGAGUCUCGCGAGUGUUGGACGUGGGAUUUAGAGAAAGGCCGCGAAGGACAGAAGGGAAGAUAAAUGCAGCUACAGUUUACUGAGUCGCACUUUUACUUCCUGGCCAGACAGCUUUGAGUCUCAACUUAAGCCACUGCUCUUCUGAUCACGGUGUAAUGAGGAACAGCUGCGAGUGAACAACUUGGUGGGAGUUCUCUAAGAAAGCAACCGAGGCUUCAAGCAUGAAGAGGUCAGAGAUGUUGGUACCGUCAGCAGUGCCGUGGGCCAGAAACAGAGUUCCUCCCUCAAGACCUUUCAUGCCGGGCAGCACUUUGGAUGCCUGAAAAUGAAAUGGAGAGGUGAAUGUCGAAGACCUUGACAGUACAGGAUGGCGUUCUGUGCGUUUGGACUGAUGUCGGCGUCGAAGAACAAGCAGUCUUUC